GAUGAACGCUGGCGGCGUGCCUAAUACAUGCAAGUCGAGCGAACGGACGAGAAGCUUGCUUCUCUGAUGUUAGCGGCGGACGGGUGAGUAACACGUGGAUAACCUACCUAUAAGACUGGGAUAACUUCGGGAAACCGUAGCUAAUACCGGAUAAUAUUUUGAACCGCAUGGUUCAAAAGUGAAAGACGGUCUUGCCGUCACUUAUAGAUGGAUCCGCGCUGCAUUAGAUAGUUGGUAAGGUAACGGCUUACCAAGGCAACGAUGCAUAGCCGACCUGAGAGGGUGAGCGGCCACACUGGAACUGAGACACGGUCCAGACUCCUACGGGAGGCAGCAGUAGGGAAUCUUCCGCAAUGGGCGAAAGCCUGACGGAGCAACGCCGCGUGAGUGAUGAAGGUCUUCGGAUCGUAAAACUCUGUUAUUAGGGAAGAACAUAUGUGUAAGUAACUGUGCACAUCUUGACGGUACCUAAUCAGAAAGCCACGGCUAACUACGUG
rnacentral:rRNA from 1 species